rnacentral:lncRNA from 1 species
CAGAAUGAUAGUAAUAACUGAUCAAAGACAACAACAACAAAAAAAAAAGAACAAAAAGGAAAGCUUGGUACUAUAUAUACUAUGAGAAGAGACAAGAGGCCAAUGUAACUACUUACAUAUCAGCGAAUUUUCCGGAGUCUCUACUUUGAAACUGCACUAGAUGUAUCCAUCCGGUCAGUGUGAAAGGGAUGCUAGGCUCAUCAAUAGCCCAUAUAUCACAUGAUCUUUUAACUUUCAGGACAUGGCACG